rnacentral:rRNA from 1 species
UAGUCCUAGCCGUAAACGUUGUGCACUUGGUGUUGGGGGAAUUGACCCCCUCAGUGCCGGAGCUAACGCGUUAAGUGCACCGCCUGGGGAGUACGGCCGCAAGGUUAAAACUCAAAGAAAUUGACGGGGGCCCGCACAAGCGGAGGAGCAUGUGGCUUAAUUCGAUGCAACGCGAAGAACCUUACCAGGGCUUGACAUAUAGCUGCAGUCCUGCCGAAAGGUAGGAUGCCUUCGAGGGUGCUAUACAGGUGCUGCAUGGCUGUCGUCAGUUCGUGCCGUGAGGUGUUGGGUUAAGUCCCGCAACGAACGCAACCCCUGUGUUUAGUUGCCACUCUCGCUUCGGCGAGAAGCACUCUAGACAGACUGCCCGUACAAGCGGGAGGAAGGUGGGGACGACGUCAAGUCAGUAUGGCCCUUACGCCCUGGGCUGCACACGUGCUACAAUGGUCGGUACAGUGGGAAGCAAUACCGCGAGGUGGAGCUAAUCCCCAAAGCUGGCCUAAGUUCGGA